UGGGGGACUACGGUAGAGCAGACCUAGUACUGUACACUUGCAGUGCAAAAUGUGUAGGCUGUUAGUCUUCUAUCUCUAUCUAACUGUCACUCUCCCCCCAGCCCACCAGUGAGGAAGACCUGUGUCCUAUCUGCUAUGCACACUCCAUCUCUGCUGUCUUCAAACCCUGUUCUCACAAGUCCUGCAAAGCUUGUAUAAAUCAGCACCUGAUGAACAACAAGGACUGUUUCUUCUGCAAGGCCACCAUCACUGGAGUGGAGGACUACAGCAAGAAGCCUACUGCAUCUUAACACCACACACACACGCACACGCACACGCACACACACACACACACACGGCUCGGACAACAGAAACCACAUUGAACACACACAGAGCAUACAGGUACACACACACACACACUACCACUCACUUUGCCCCCUGACAGCUUAGAAACUCUCCAUAUUGAUCACCAGGCCAGAAAACAGGAACAGUCACUUCUACUCCACAAGCAGUGUUAAUCCGACAGCUCCCCAGAUAAGUCCCAUGUCUCUCCCCCUUCGCCUGUUAAAUGAUUCCCAUGUCUC